rnacentral:tRNA from 1 species
CCCUGGGUGGCACAGACAGCAAAAGCAUUUGGCUGCUAACCAAAAGGUUGGUGUUCGAACCCACCCAGAGG